rnacentral:lncRNA from 1 species
UGCAAACCCCAUUUCAGCACUGCAAACUUCUUAGCAGAAUCCACGCUAACUUCUGAAAAUUCCCUCCUGCCUGUACCUCAUCCCUCAAGUUCACAGCCACCCCUCCAAGGACUUCAUUCCAAUUCCAGGUUUGUACUGAGGCUGUGGAGCAGACACAAACAGCUUGUGCAAUCCCUGCAGUCCUGGAUGAAAACAAACACGCGGCAAAUACAACCUCCAUCCACACAGCCAGGUGUAUGCAAAUGCUUCCUUACCAUUGUUCAAUUCAAGGAACUGAAGAGUCUUUCUCCUGGCUGAUAUCAGAGAGGACACCUUGUCAUGGUUGAGAACUGGAGCCGAAGAUAAAACCGAACCACAG